rnacentral:rRNA from 2 species
UCAGGAUGAACGCUGGCGGCGUGCUUAACACAUGCAAGUCGAACGAAGCACUUUCUUACGAUCCCUUCGGGGUGACGAGUUUGUGACUGAGUGGCGGACGGGUGAGUAACGCGUGGGUAACCUGCCUUAUACAGGGGGAUAACAGUUGGAAACGGCUGCUAAUACCGCAUAAGCGCACAGUAUCGCAUGAUACAGUGUGAAAAACUCCGGUGGUAUAAGAUGGACCCGCGUCUGAUUAGCUAGUUGGUGAGGUAACGGCUCACCAAGGCGACGAUCAGUAGCCGAUCUGAGAGGAUGAACGGCCACAUUGGGACUGAGACACGGCCCAGACUCCUACGGGAGGCAGCAGUGGGGAAUAUUGCACAAUGGGCGAAAGCCUGAUGCAGCGACGCCGCGUGAGCGAUGAAGUAUUUCGGUAUGUAAAGCUCUAUCAGCAGGGAAGAUAAUGACGGUACCUGACUAAGAAGCACCGGCUAAAUACGUGCCAGCAGCCGCGGUAAUACGUAUGGUGCAAGCGUUAUCCGGAUUUACUGGGUGUAAAGGGAGCGUAGGCGGUCUUGCAAGUCUGAUGUGAAAGCCCGGGGCUCAACCGCGGGAUUGCAUUGGAAACUGUAGGACUUGAGUAUCGGAGAGGUAAGUGGAAUUCCUAGUGUAGCGGUGAAAUGCGUAGAUAUUAGGAGGAACACCAGUGGCGAAGGCGGCUUAC